rnacentral:misc_RNA from 1 species
UUACCGUGUUGCUUACCUCUUAAUUGUAUGUUUUAUUUUCUACUGAGAGGUAGGCGUCAGUUCAAGGAGAGAUUAAAUGGAAGGUCUACACUACUUCCUGUGUGCCCGUCUUAGUGCUCAUUAUCUGUUUAGUCGUGACCGCCCUUGCAAGUGGACAGCGUGGAGCAGAUGAGGGCCGGUGGGUCAUACAUUCUUUUAUAUAAACCAACCAGAGUGUGAUGCGUUGAGUGUCAUAUUCCAGGAGAGAGAGAGAGCAGUGAUUGAUGUGAAAAACAUCCGUCAGACUUCAGUUAUCGUCAACUUCAGUUUGCUACCCUCG